AUGGCUGUCGCUGAUUUCUUUCGUAGAAGGUUAGACGAUGAUUUAACAAGCCAAUGGCUGUCGCUGCGAAGCUGUGUACAUAGGUUGAAUCUGUCUGGUGACAGAGACUCUGUGUACUGGUGCUUGAAGAAGUCAGGUAGGUUCACUACUAAGUCCAUGUACAAGUGGCUAGAGAGACCACUUAGUGGGUGUACCUAUAAGUGGAUUUGGAAGGCUAAACUACCCCUUAAAAUCCAGAUCUUCCUUUGGCAGCUUGCUCAAGAUGCGGUCCUUACCAGGCAAGUGAUGCGUCAACGAAAAUGGCAAGGGAAUCCUGUGUGUUCCUUUUACCACCAGGUUGAAACUUCCCAACACUUAUUCUUUGGUUGCUCUGCGGCCAAAGUUGUCUGGCGUUCGAUUGGGGUCACGCUUGGUACAGAUUUGUGUCCUAGUAAUUACUGGCAGUUUUUUGUUUGGUGUUACUCCUUACCAGGAUGUGAAUCUUUUUAUACUGUGGCACUUGGGGCUGUCACUUGGGCCAUCUGGCUGGCUCGUAACAAAGCACACCUUUGA
rnacentral:rRNA from 1 species